rnacentral:rRNA from 1 species
AGUGGCGGACGGGUGAGUAACGCGUGAGAAUCUGCCUUGGGGUCGGGGACAACCACUGGAAACGGUGGCUAAUACCGGAUACGCCUUCGGGUAAAAGAUUUAUUGCCCUAAGAGGAGCUCGCGUCUGAUUAGCUAGUUGGUGAGGUAAGAGCUCACCAAGGCAGCGAUCAGUAGCUGGUCUGAGAGGACGAUCAGCCACACUGGGACUGAGACACGGCCCAGACUCCUACGGGAGGCAGCAGUGGGGAAUUUUCCGCAAUGGGCGAAAGCCUGACGGAGCAAGACCGCGUGAGGGAGGAAGGCUCUUGGGUUGUAAACCUCUUUUCUCAGGGAAGAAGCUCUGACGGUACCUGAGGAAUCAGCCUCGGCUAACUCCGUGCCAGCAGCCGCGGUAAUACGGAGGAGGCAAGCGUUAUCCGGAAUUAUUGGGCGUAAAGCGUCCGCAGGUGGCGAUUCAAGUCUGCUGUCAAAGCACGGGGCUUAACUCCGUAAAGGCAGUGGAAACUGAAUAGCUAGAGUGCCGUAGGGGUAGAGGGAAUUCCCGGUGUAGCGGUGAAAUGCGUAGAGAUCGGGAAGAACAUCGGUGGCGAAAGCGCUCUACUGGACGGCGACUGACACUCAGGGACGAAAGCUAGGGGAGCGAAUGGGAUUAGAUACCCC